rnacentral:rRNA from 1 species
GACAGAGGGGGCAAGCGUUGCUCGGAAUUACUGGGCGUAAAGGGCGCGUAGGCGGGAUGGCAAGUCGGUCGUGAAAUUCCUGGGCUCAACCUGGGGGCUGCGUUUGAUACGUGCGGACUUGAGUGCGGAAGAGGGUCGUGGAAUUCCCAGUGUAGAGGUGAAAUUCGUAGAUAUUGGGAAGAACAUCGGUGGCGAAGGCGGCCACCUGGGAGGGUACUGACGCUGAGACGCGAAAGCGUGGGGAGCAAACAGG